AUACUAUGGAGGUAGAUUUGUGUCUUUAUUAUGCAAUCAAAAAUAAUAGGUUUGAGAGCAAAACUUUCCACACUGCAAUCAAAAAAUAGAUUUGAGAGCAAAACUAUCGACACUGCAAUCAAAAAAUGUUUUAUUGCAAGAUAAAUUAAUGUGAUAAAAAAAAUAUUAAUGGGAAUCCAAAAGUU